rnacentral:lncRNA from 1 species
UUGAAGCCUGGGGAACGGAUCGUCUUUUGGGACACUCGGCAGUACAAUUUUUCAGUUCCCUGAUCUUGCUGUUGUCAAGGCUAGAUGGAUAAACGCACAGUCUGAAACAACUAGUCCCGAGGGGUGCGGCAAACCGGAUCCUAACCCGGCAACACAGGGCACAAGGCUGGAGGGGGAGGGGACGCACCCAGGACGGGAUGCCGGUCCAUCGCAAGGCACCCCAACCGGGACUCAAACCCCAGACCCACCAGAGAGCAGGCACAGGCCAAAUUUGCUGCGCCACCACAUCCCCCUAGAUGGAUACAUCCUUCCUCAAAUAUAAAACCAGAGCCUCUCACAGUACUUGAUCAAUGUUACUGCACUGGAAGCAGAAUUUGAACCUGGAUCCCUCAAGUAAAAGUCAGCAAGUCUUUCCUCAACACAACUUGCCACCCUUCAGUGUAGUUUCUGCUUAGGUCAAAUUAAUGCAGGACUUUCAGAGCUGUUCAUCACACUUUGCAUGUUGAGAAGUCUGCCAGCUGAGCUAUUUGAACCUUCGUGAGGACAGCGGGACUCGAACCUUUGGUGCUCUGCUCUCAACUAAUUCGCCUUAUGUGUUAGGCCGUGCGGUCUGGUUUGAGUCCACCGCAAUCAGCCGCAAUCACCGUAAGGCCAGAAUGCCUGAUGUGUGCUGUUGAAAGCGAGAUGGUACAUCCUUCUUGGCUGACCUCUGUCCCUUAGGUGUACCGAACCCAGCACUUUGCUGACAGGCAGAGACUCGUCUUGAAAGCAUGCGUGGGGAUACGUCUCAAAGGCAUGGACGGAACUGCACAUUCCUUUCCAUUGCACAACACUUUGCUAGUGCUGCGUGAUGUAUCUUGGUA